rnacentral:rRNA from 1 species
UACAUGUGGGGCAAGCGUUGUUCGGAAUUACUGGGCAUAAAGGGUGCGUAGGUGGCUUGUUAAGUCAGGGGUGAAAGUUUUCGGCCCAACCGGAAAAUGGCCUUUGAUACUGGCGAGCUCGAGUGCGUGAGGGGUAACCGGAACGAGCAGUGUAGCGGUGAAAUGCGUAGAUAUUGCUCGGAAGGCCAACGGCGAAGGCAGGUUACUGGUGCGCAACUGACACUGAGGCACGAAAGCGUGGGGAGCAAACAGGG